ensembl:lncRNA
UCAGGGAGUUUGAGGAUAGACACAGGGUCAGUGUUCAGUACCAAAUUUACCAUUUGCAUGGAUACUGGAGUAUUUUAGGUAGAUGUGACCAUGUAGGCAGGGAUACUGGAGUAUUUUAGGUAGAUGUGAUCAUGGAGGCAGGGAUACUGGAGUAUUUUAGGUAGAUGUGACCAUGUAGGCAGGGAUACUGGAGUAUUUUAGGUAGAUGUGACCAUGGAGGCAGGGAUACUAGAGUAUUUUAGGUAGAGAUGUGACCAUGCAGGCAGGGAUACUGGAGUAUUUUAGGUAGAGAUGUGUACAUGCAGGCAGGGAUACUGGAGUAUUUUAGGUAGAGAUGUGUACAUGCAGGCAGGGAUACUGGAGUAUUUUAGGUAGAGAUGUGACCAUGCAGGCAGGGAUACUGGAGUAUUUUAGGUAGAGAUGUGUACAUGCAGGCAGGGAUACUAGAGUAUUUUAGGUAGAGAUGUGUACAUGCAGGCAGGUAUUAGGAGAAAGCGAUGCGUAACAGGACAAAUAUUAAUAAUACGUGUGGGAACUUUGAAGAAUCUUUAAUAUUAAAUUAAAUAUAAAACACUUUGUUGGUUAUUACCUGAUUCAAUAUCUGUUAUUUCAUAGUUUUACUAAUAUAUAAUAUACUAAUAUUUACUAAUGUCAAUAGGAUUAAUGGUGA